rnacentral:rRNA from 1 species
GUCGAAGGAUGCAAGCGUUAUCCGGAUUCAUUGGGUUUAAAGGGCGCGUAGGUGGUCUUAUACGUCCGUGGUGAAAUCUCUGGGCUUAACCCAGAAAUUGCCAUUGAUACUGUAGGACUUGAGUAUAGUUGCCGUUGGCGGAAUAUGACAUGUAGUGGUGAAAUACAUAGAGAUGUCAUAGAACACCGAUUGCGAAGGCAGCUAACGAAACUACAACUGACACUGUGGCUCGAAAGUGCGGGGAUCAAACAGG